rnacentral:snRNA from 1 species
AGCUUUGUGCAGUGGCAGUAUCAUAGCCAAUGAGGUUUAUCCAAGGCGCGAUUAUUGCUAAUUGAAAACUAAAGUGAAUAGGUUGUUUUAGGACUACCUUUAGGU